CCCUAUACUGAUUUCAUCUGCUAUAAAUAUAACAGUCUAACCCAAGCCUACCCUAUCCAAUCCACCCUUUCCCACCACGCCGCCGCCAGCCAACCACUCACUCGCCUCGCCCCUCGGGAUCCUCCCAGAUCCAAACCCGUAACCAACCACCUUCCUGGUUUUCACGGCCGAGCAAACCCAGUCCCUUCGAUCCAUCCAUCCAUCGGUCCAUCCGCAGCCUCGUCCUUCCUGAUCCACCAUGCCUCCCCCCAUCUUCUCAUUUUGUUCCUCUCUCUCACGCUCUCUGUCUCUCUCUCUUGUGCUGCACCAGGGAUGCAACAGCCACCGCCGCCAUGGACCGCCACCGCCGUCUUCUGCAUCUACUGCUCCGUCGCCUUGCCCGCUGGCCGCCGGCACUCCUCUCUGCUCGUCGGCCUCCCAGCCUCCAGCCCCGCUGGACCCUGCCAUCCCCAUGACUCCGGCGAGCCGCCGGUAGCCACGACUCUACCACGCGCUCUUCUGUUUCCUCACACGGUGCCCUGUGCACCGGACUCUUCUUCAACCCCCACGUCGCCCGUGUCAAGCCGCCGCUGUGCCAGUCACCAAGCCAAGUCGCCGGAGCACCAGGACCCUCCCGCACCUCUCGAUCUCGCCCGAAGCGAGGCCAUUGUCGCUCCUCUCGUGCGCCUUCCUGCUUGUCCCACCAGAGCCCCGUCCUCCCCGCGCCUGUCCCGUGCGUCCGGCAAGCAGCAGCAGUGACUAGGCCACAGGAGCUCCAGCGCCAUGGUUUGAAUUCGGCCUCGAGGUCCCGACGCUGCCAUCUCCUGCAUUCGCUGCCGCGCCAUGUCUCGCUUCCUCGCCACCAACCGGAGCUCCGACGAGCCCUCGUUGUACUUCGCCGGGGCCUCGCCGUCGGCGACCAGCAGGGAACUGACGCCGUCCUUAGCUCCACCUGCGCCGUCGUUGCACGGAUCCGGCGCCGGCCAGCUUGAUCCGCCCCGUCUCCACCUCGCCACCAUGCCCUGCAUCCCGCAUCGCCAGCCGCCGUCCCCUGCUUCACGAACGAGACCGCCAGCGCUGCCCCUUCAUUGACUUGGUCCGGCACCAGCGUGGCCGGUCUCCAAAUCCCAGGCUCCAAGGCCCAAGCCGCCCACUUCGUCCGCCCGAACCGCCAAGCCUGCAGCCAGCUCCACUGACUGGGCCUGGCCCAUGUUCCGAUAACGUCGCGUUUCUGAGGAUCCGUUCGACUUCGUCUGUUUGACUUCUUC